UGAGCAAGUACCGUAAACAGAAGCAGUCACCCCCCCUGGACGUUCGCCAUUUUUAGUAUUUCCAGGGGGGGGCUGCUUCUGUUUACGGUACUUGCUGA
rnacentral:miRNA from 1 species